AGAGUUUGAUCCUGGCUCAGGACGAACGCUGGCGGCGUGCCUAAUACAUGCAAGUCGAACGCUUUUUUUUCCACCGGAGCUUGCUCCACCGGAAAAAGAGGAGUGGCGAACGGGUGAGUAACACGUGGGUAACCUGCCCAUCAGAAGGGGAUAACACUUGGAAACAGGUGCUAAUACCGUAUAACAAUCGAAACCGCAUGGUUUUGAUUUGAAAGGCGCUUUCGGGUGUCGCUGAUGGAUGGACCCGCGGUGCAUUAGCUAGUUGGUGAGGUAACGGCUCACCAAGGCGACGAUGCAUAGCCGACCUGAGAGGGUGAUUGGCCACAUUGGGACUGAGACACGGCCCAAACUCCUACGGGAGGCAGCAGUAGGGAAUCUUCGGCAAUGGACGAAAGUCUGACCGAGCAACGCCGCGUGAGUGAAGAAGGUUUUCGGAUCGUAAAACUCUGUUGUUAGAGAAGAACAAGGAUGAGAGUAACUGUUCAUCCCUUGACGGUAUCUAACCAGAAAGCCACGGCUAACUACGUGCCAGCAGCCGCGGUAAUACGUAGGUGGCAAGCGUUGUCCGGAUUUAUUGGGCGUAAAGCGAGCGCAGGCGGUUUCUUAAGUCUGAUGUGAAAGCCCCCGGCUCAACCGGGGAGGGUCAUUGGAAACUGGGGGACUUGAGUGCAGAAGAGGAGAGUGGAAUUCCAUGUGUAGCGGUGAAAUGCGUAGAUAUAUGGAGGAACACCAGUGGCGAAGGCGGCUCUCUGGUCUGUAACUGACGCUGAGGCUCGAAAGCGUGGGGAGCAAACAGGAUUAGAUACCCUGGUAGUCCACGCCGUAAACGAUGAGUGCUAAGUG
rnacentral:rRNA from 1 species